rnacentral:rRNA from 1 species
GGUUUGUCGCGUUGUUCGUGAAAUCUCACGGCUUAACUGUGAGCGUGCGGGCGAUACGGGCAGACUUGAGUACUGCAGGGGAGACUGGAAUUCCUGGUGUAGCGGUGGAAUGCGCAGAUAUCAGGAGGAACACCGGUGGCGAAGGCGGGUCUCUGGGCAGUAACUGACGCUGAGGAGCGAAAGCGUGGGGAGCGAACAGGAUUAGAUACCCUGGUAGUCCACGCCGUAAACGGUGGAUACUAGGUGUGGGUUUCCUUCCUUGGGAUCCGUGCCGUAGCUAACGCAUUAAGUACCCCGCCUGGGGAGUACGGCCGCAAGGCUAAAACUCAAAGAAAUUGACGGGGGCCCGCACAAGCGGCGGAGCAUGUGGAUUAAUUCGAUGCAACGCGAAGAACCUUACCUGGGUUUGACAUGCACAGGACGCCGGCAGAGAUGUCGGUUCCCUUGUGGCCUGUGUGCAGGUGGUGCAUGGCUGUCGUCAGCUCGUGUCGUGAGAUGUUGGGUUAAGUCCCGCAACGAGCGCAACCCUUGUCUCAUGUUGCCAGCGGGUAAUGCCGGGGACUCGUGAGAGACUGCCGGGGUCAACUCGGAGGAAGGUGGGGAUGACGUCAAGUCAUCAUGCCCCUUAUGUCCAGGGCUUCACACAUGCUACAAUGGCCGGUACAAAGGGCUGCGAUGCCGCGAGGUUAAGCGAAUCCUUUUAAAGCCGGUCUCAGUUCGGAUCGGGGUCUGCAACUCGACCCCGUGAAGUCGGAGUCGCUAGUAAUCGCA